UCUCCUUUUUGUCAAAGCUUUCUUCCUGAUCUUUGAUGGAAGUAUCCUCUUUCGCACAUGCAAUUGUUUCAGAGCAGUCACCUGAAGCAGUUGUUUCUAUCUCCUCAGAAGCCAUUUCCAAAGAUUCUUUUAUCUCUUCAUUUCCUGGUUCAUCUUUGCUGUGUCCUGAAGCAGUUAUUGCAUCAUUGAUGUUGUCUUCAGCUGCUAUGACUGUAUGCCCAAUGUUGUCUCUGCUCUCCCCUGCUGAUGCCUCUGUUACAGCCAGCUGUUCAUCUAUGUUUUGUUUACCUUCCUUGUGGUUUACAGGCAAAUUGUCAAGCUUUUGUUUGUGAGUCAUCUCAUCCCUAACGUUUUCACCUUCACUGCUAUCAGCUUGAGCUGUUUUCUCAGGGAUUUCUAUCUGGCCUUCUUCUAGUGGGCUUUCUUUCACGUCCUCUGACCAAUU
rnacentral:misc_RNA from 1 species